rnacentral:rRNA from 1 species
AUUGAACGCUGGCGGCAGGCUUAACACAUGCAAGUCGAGCGAGCGGCGGACGGGUGAGUAAUGUCUGGGAAACUGCCUGAUGGAGGGGGAUAACUACUGGAAACGGUAGCUAAUACCGCAUACCAUCAGAUGUGCCCAGAUGGGAUUAGCUAGUAGGUGGGGUAAUGGCUCACCUAGGCGACGAUCCCUAGCUGGUCUGAGAGGAUGACCAGCCACACGGGAACUGAGACAGGGUACAGACUCCUACGGGAGGGCGAGUGGGAGAAUAUUGCACAAUGGGCGCAAGCCUGAUGCAGACAGGGCGCGUGUGAAGAAGGCCUUCGGGUUGUAAAGCACUUUCAGCGAGGAGGCGUUACUCGCAGAAGAAGCACCGGCUAACUCCGUGCCAGCAGCCGCGGUAAUUC